UAGUCUGGGAAACGUGCCUGAUGGAGGGGGGUAACUACUGGAAACGGUAGCUAAUACCGCAUAAUGUCGCAAGACCAAAGUGGGGGACCUUCGGGCCUCAUGCCAUCAGAUGUGCCCAGAUGGGAUUAGCUAGUAGGUGGGGUAAUGGCUCACCUAGGCGACGAUCCCUAGCUGGUCUGAGAGGAUGACCAGCCACACUGGAACUGAGACACGGUCCAG
rnacentral:rRNA from 1 species